rnacentral:rRNA from 1 species
AAGGUAUUGAAAUAAGAUUUUAAAUGAGUGCUAAGAGAAUGAUUAAACAAUUAAAAACUUUCUUUAAUUAAAUAAUUAAAUUUAAUUUUUUUGGUGCGAAAGCAAAAAUAAAAUUUAGGGACAAGAAGACCCUAUGAAUUUUUAUUAUUAAUAUUUUGCAAUUAAAUUAUUAAUAAUUUAAUUGGGGUGAUAAAAAAAGAAUAAGUAUCUUUUUAAUUGUAAAAUAAGUUCCGUUUUUAGCGAUUAAAUGAAAAAAAUACUCUAGGGAUAACAGCGUAAUAA